GUAGGGAAUAUUGCACAAUGGGGGAAACCCUGAUGCAGCGACGCCGCGUGAGUGAUGAAGGCCUUCGGGUCGUAAAGCUCUGUCGUAUGGGACUAACACAAUGAAGGUACCAUGCAAGAAAGGAUCGGCUAACUUCGUGCCAGCAGCCGCGGUAAGACGAGGGAUCCUAGCGUUGUUCGGAAUCAUUGGGCGUAAAGCGGGUGUAGGCGGAUUUAUAAGUCAGGUGUGAAAUCCCAGGGCUCAACCCUGGAAGUGCACUUGAUACUUUAAAUCUUGAGUGUGGUAGAGGUUACUGGAAUUGUUGGUGUAGUGGUGAAAUACGUAGAUAUCAACAGGAAUACCGGAGGCGAAGGCGAGUAACUGGGCCAACACUGACGCUGAGACCCGAAAGCGUGGGGAUCAAACAGGAUUAGAAACCCGAGUAGUCC
rnacentral:rRNA from 1 species